rnacentral:tRNA from 1 species
GAAGGUAUAGCUCAGUGGGAGGGCACAUGCUUAGCAUGCAUGGGUCCUGGGGUCAAUCCGCAGUAUCUCUG